rnacentral:lncRNA from 1 species
CUCCAACUGGGACUAGAAAACAGCACUGAAAACAAUCUGGAGAAGAACAAUUCUUCUAGAAAGAAUCCUGCACAUCUACCAACCGGCUCCCACAAACAAAGAACAUCGCGAUGGCAACGUCUGCCUUCCCCAGCAGAGCCGCGGCGCUCAGGACCGCCCCGGAACGCAGAACUUUCUACCGCCGCAGCCGCGCUCGGAACGCGUUCAGAAAGCCGCGCCACUUCACGGAGCCACCAACGCCGCCGGAUCCCGCGCGCCAGCUGCGCAUCCUCCGAAGCCCUCCGUGCGCUCGACCCCCUCCUGCCCCGCGACGCGGCGGCCUCUGCGCUCCAACGCCGCGCCGACAUCCCGGGCCGGCCGGGAGCGCGGCACUCCGCACCGGGCGGCGGCACUCCGGGGCCGCAGCGCGGCCCUCCCUCCCCCGCCGCAGCUCUGCCCGGCGCGGAACGCGCCCCCUGCUGCCUCCCGCACUCAUCUCCCGGGCGGGCUGCGGUGCAUUUUGGGUGGGGGCUGGUAUUUUUCUGCCACGGCCAUCCAGCGGGAGCGACAGCCCGGGUGUAAUGCGGCGGGGAGGGGGAAAGCGAAAUAGGGGGGGGGGAAGAAAAAAAAAAGAUAAGAAAUGAAAGGAGGGACGGCGCCGUCCGCGCCGCGAGCGCUGCAGAACGCGCUGCCCUCCCGCCCGGGCUGCGAGGCGCGGUGCCGGCUGCGCAGAGCCCCGCUCCCCGCCUUUGUCUGAGCGGCGGAACGCGCCGCGUCCCGGGGCUGCUCCCUUUCCCCGCCCGCGCUGAGCCCGGCCCGGCCCCGCUCCGCAUCGCCGCGCGCUGCCCCCGCCGGCCGGGAGCGCGGCACCGCACGGAGGGCGCCGGCGGCGUAGCGGUCCCCGCGUCCGAUGCGGAGGGCCGGAGCGGGGCCGGAGCCCCUCGGCGCCGCCGCUCUCCUCUUCAGAGGGGCCGCUCCGCCGGGCCGAAGGACGGGGGGCGCGGAGGGCGGGGGCCGCCCGGGCCGGAGCGCGGCGCACACCUACCUGAGCGCGGCUCUCCUCGCGGCGGGGGCGGGCGCUGUCCCGGCACCUCCGGCGCGGGGCGAGGGGCGCGGAGCCGCCUCCCGGCGCCGCCCGGAUCCCCGCGCGGGCGGAGCGCUGCGCAGCCGGCGGCGGCGGCGCGGGGGAGACAAAGGGGGCUGGAAGGCGGCGGGGGAGGAGGGGGCAGUGUGCGGAAGGGGACGCUACGGUGAGCGGCGCCCCAGCGGGGCGGGGGCGGCGGCGGCACUGGGCUCGGUCCCCGGGGCGGGGGUGCGGGGCCGCGGGCGGGGGGGGGCUCCCUGCAGACAAUACAGCCGGGUCCCUCCUGCCCAGAACCUGCCCUGGCCAAGAUGGCGGCCGAGAAAGAGCGGAAGUGACGCGAGACUCUCAUUAGCAUACGGGACUCAUUGUCCGGCGGGAGGGGACGGGGCCGCGGCCUGGUGGGGAGGGGUCCCGAGCCCCGCCGCGUUCCCGCCGGCCGAGUCCCCAUCCCCGCCCCGCGGGGCGCACCCCGACCGCCGUGCUGAGGCUCGCGCGGCCGCCGAACCGGUUCGGGAGCGGGCGGAGGGGGGGGGAGAAAGUGGGGGGGCUCUCGCGAGAAGGACGGAGGCGGCCGCCGGCGGCGGGAUCUACCCCGGCCCCGCUAGGAGGCGCCACGCCCUGCGGCUGGGGCCGGAGCGGGAGCUGGCGCCGCCCGGUUAUCCCUCCGCCGCCGCCAGCCGGGACUACAUCCCGUCCUGGGGCCGCCGCCGCCGUCGGGCGGGGGGCACGCGCCUGGUGAGCCGCGCGCCCACGUGAUCGCGCGCUGCGCACGUGACCUCGGGGCCGGCGGUACGCUGUCUCGUGCGGCGCCUCAGGACGUUCCCGCCUCGCGCAUCGCCGCUCCUGAGCCUCGUCCGCAUCGCGGCAGAGCCGCCGCCCGAGGCGGGAGGGGAGACCGAGGAUGAGAGACUUCGAGCGGGGCGAGGUCACCCGAGGCACCUGAAGGUGUUAGGGCGUGAAGCGAGAAUUAGGUGUGCCGAAGGAGGGCAGAGCUCGGCCUGCAGCUCGUCCUGCUCUGAGCGCAGGCGUGUCCGUGCCCUCAGGAGCGCAGCCUGACGCAGCCGUGAGGGGGAAGUGGGGCGUGGCUGCACCUCAGGAGUACCCCGACACCGGAGGAGAAGUGCCGUCCGUUCCCGCCUGAUUUGUUAGAGCAGUGCCUGAGAGUUAAAUGUGUAGGAAAGUCACCGUGGCUUCAGAUAUCAUAAAGCAACACAUCACUGCAUUUCUGCAUGGCUCGUAUCCUGCAAGCCUUCAUCGCUGCCUUUAUCGCAGUUCACAUAAGUAGCUUUCAUGAAGGUGUCAGUGACGUUUUAUUUGCUACCUUUCUUUAAGAAUUUCUAAUUUGACAGUUUAGAAGCACACUGCUUGCAAAUCAUACCUUCAUUUCACCAUACGUUCUCAAUGUCUUCGCAUCAGCAUCCAUAAGAAUGAGUAAGUGAUGGAAAGUCUUUGUUUUACAACAGAAUGGAUGCACACAAAACUUACCUGCAACAGCAAAUGGUGAUUUAACACAAGAAGGGAGGGUUUCUGGAGCCCGAGCACCAGAAGAACAAAUCCCUGAAGUCUGAAAGAUGGAUUUCAGAAAACUCAGAAGUGCCAUAUGGUGAGAGGAACAAAGUUCCAUGGAAUACAGAAAUGAAAUUAGAAAUAGCAAUUCGAUUUUAUAGAUAAUUAAGGGGACAAAAACGAGUUUGUGUGUUAAUAGUCGGGCGUUCAGCAGGGGAAAUCAAGAGCUCCUGGACAUCUUCGCUCUUGCAAGUGAUUGCAAGUGUAUCAGACUGUCAGCGUAACUUUGUCUCUUGAGCUUGUUUCUUGUUGCUCACCAGAAUAGCCUCAGGCUGGCAGCUUGCUGAAAGCCCUAUGACCACUUCCUCAAGAGCUGACAGCAUUGAGGAAUUUCCAUCUGGAAAAAUCUUUUCAGCCAUGUUCUGAUGAUGGCACCCAGUCCAGAACUAGGCCAAAAGAUGUAUGGAAAGCAAACUGGAAAGGGUUUGGAAACUCAAAUUGGGUACAAGAGGAAUUAAAUUGUGUAUGGAUGGAAAGCAAAGCACCAGAACGCAAAAAUAGCUGCUGAGUGCACAAGACUGGUGAUGCAGGCAGAGUUUAUUAAGGCAGAGAGAGAAGAGCAGGAGGGAAAAAUAAUGUAGUGGCAAUAGCUUGAGCAAGUGGGAGCCGUUGCCUGUUUUGGCAUAAAUCCUGUGAGGAUGGGACUGAGAAGAUUCUGAGGUGAGGAUAGGACAGUACCUGUUGUAAGAAUCCUGAAGCGAUGGGCGAGAUGGGCAAGAUCUUGAUCUCACUUAAUGAGAGUUUUCUGGAUGAUUUGCACAGUACCACCAUUGUCAACAUUUAUCAAGUUAAAAAGAAAGAUGGGAGUAAUACAAAGCUUGCAUGAGAAGGUUGAUUUGAAAGGUAAAAUUCAGACAGCAGGGAAGAAGGAGAAAUAAGCCUUGAGUUCAUUUUUCUGCUGUGUGUAAGUGAGGUGUACAAAAUGAAACAAAAUGUCAUGAUAAUAUUCUUAAUAUGCAUUUUGUAUGAUGGAAGUGGGUAUUGUUUUUCACAAGAGGCUCUGACAACCAGUAAAAUUGUAGCAUUGUAGGAGGCUAAACAUUUAACACUAGCAGCAACACAAUUAGAGUUCCGGAGUUGAAUAGGUAUGAUUGACGGUGUGUUGUGCUCCUGUUCAGGUCAAAAUUGUGCCUGUAUUUACAAUUGUAUUAGCUUAGCAGCAGCACUAUCUUUGUUUGAAUGCAAACUAACUCAGCCAACUAUCAAUGGCUGUAAGCACCUAACAUAAUUAAUUAUAUAAUAAAUACAAUUAAGGUUAAUCCUCAGCAGCACUAAGAUCCCAGUCUCACAGGAAUGGAGCCCUCCAGCUCCCUUGUCAUUUAAGACACUUCAUCAUCUGUCAGCAUUCUCUAACUUUCCUCCCUAAAGACAACUUAGGCAAAAAUCACCAGGAAGGAGCCAAAUUCGGUCUGUAUUGAGAUGAAAGUAGGGAAGAACUUUGCCUUCUCACUCCCUUGUCCAUUUCCUCCCCUCCCUUGUCUUUAAGAAAAGAAAAGAAAAGAAAAGAAAAGAAAAGAAAAGAAAAGAAAAGAAAAGAACACCAAAACCCUCCUAUUGAGAAGAUCUGUGAUAAGAACUGUGUAAGAUUGAUUUAGUUAGUUGAUUAGGAUAACUAGGAAGGAAUGUCAAUCUCUUAGACCAGUAAGAAAUAUAUCUGUCAUAAACAACACGUAAUUUUCACUUGGAAGCUGGUCAGUCAAAUAUACUGUCCUUUGGAGGUGAUGUUCUGCCAUGACAAACCACACUGUUUUUGUGGAAAUAAGAUUGACACCUUCCAUGUUGUCAACACUUUCAAAAUGAAUUCAGAUUGAGGAUUUUCUUAAUGAAAGAUGUAAACUAAAAGUCUAAUUAAAAAUUACCUAACUUCAAAAUUUCAAUAAUUUAGCAUUCUCAUGCAGCUUGUCUCUUUUACUUCUCCUGCAUUCAAGCUCUAAUACCAAAUAAUACAAUUAUUUUAACAGGAUCAGCCCAUCAAAAUACCACCAUAUGCCUUCCUUGCAAGAGCAAGCAGAAUGGAAAAAUGGAGUAGAAAUGAGAGCUCUGUGAACACAUUCGAGUCAUGACAUGAACUUCACCAGCUGAACUCCUACAAAAAAGGAAAAUCAAUUCCUCGCCUGUUUCCUUGAACGCGCUGAGCACGCACUGUGCCCAGAAAGCACGGCUUUGUACACUCGGCGCUGACUUGGCUGGGGAGAAACAGAAAUACAUUUGGUGGCUGCAGGGCAUCGCGGCCAGAAACGAGAACUGCGACUCCACGAGAAGCCGCGGCUGCCUUACGCUGCUGCGCCAACACAGCGCCUCACAGCCGUGCCUGCAGGAGCCCACCGUGCGGCGCCGCGCUCUGAUCAGUCAUCAGAAAGAUGCAUUUAACUGCAUCAGCGAACCGUUCGUGUUCUCUCUUAUUGGCGUCACUAAAGAACGGAGAAGCUCCAGAACUCGGCAGCUUUCAUCUUCCUAAUCUCCCUGUGCCCGCAGCCAUAGAAACUGAGAUUCGGUUCGAUCGGAUCCCCGCGCUCCCCCGGCGCGCAGACAGCAGCGCACGCCGCCGGUGACCGCGGAGCGCCGAGCUCACACAGCCGCAGCCCCGCGCACCUCCACCACGCAGCGCCGCGGCCGCCCGCCUGAGCGCUGCGCAGAGCGUGGAGGAGCUGCUGCAGGGCGGAAAGAGCGCAGAGCGCGGGACGCCACCGCACACCGCUGAGGGCUGCCGGUACUUCCCAGCACAGAGAGAGAAAACAAAGAAGCGCAACUCACGAUUUUAUCCGACCCGUAGAUCUUCUCCAACUGCUCGGCGACCUGCUGCGUCCCGUCCGGGCUGCCAUCGUCUAUGAUGAUAACUUCGAAGUCCGUCCCACUGAAACCAGAAUUAUUUUGUAAGCGGACACGCAGAAAACCUAAUUUCUCCCCCUACGUCGUUUUGUAAAGCGUGAAACAGAGCACGCAGAGAUUUUCUGACAGAAACGUAUGCUAUGGUCCGUAUCGCAGCUGUGAGGUUACGCUUACAGCGCUAAGAUCGACCGACGGACCCCAGCCGUACCUCUCCCGGAAGGUGCGCACCAGCAGCCACACAACGAGCGGCAGAUUCUCACGCUCGUUGUAGGUGGGCAGCAGCACAGAGAACUUAUUGCCGCCACGGGCC